UACGAAGGGGGCUAGCGUUGUUCGGAAUUACUGGGCGUAAAGCGCACGUAGGCGGACAUUUUAAGUCAGGGGUGAAAUCCCAGAGCUCAACUCUGGAACUGCCUUUGAUACUGGGUGUCUUGAGUAUGGAAGAGGUGAGUGGAAUUCCGAGUGUAGAGGUGAAAUUCGUAGAUAUUCGGAGGAACACCAGUGGCGAAGGCGGCUCACUGGUCCAUUACUGACGCUGAGGUGCGAAAGCGUGGGGAGCGAACAGG
rnacentral:rRNA from 1 species